AGCUGGGCUCCAGAGUGCCGCUCCUUAUCAGCAAGGUCCCUCUGCGCUGGGGACGCUGCUACCCACAUUCCCCUCCCACACACGCUCGCCCUCACCCCAGGCCCCCACACUGUUCCCCCAGCAGCCACUGGGCAUAGGCAAGGAGAGCUGGGAGCAGCCAUUCUGCUUCGCGGGCCAGUGGAGAGAGAGAGGGCUCUUCUGGCCAGCCCCAUGAGGGAGACCCAAGCCACAGGCCUCAGACCACUCAGCCACGCACCCAAACUGCUGCCUACAAGUAUGGCUCGGAUCGGGAUCCUGCCUAGGCCCCUCCCUCUGACAAGAAACAUGUGGGCUGCUUUCCCUGCUUCAGACGGAGAUCAGGUAAGAGAAAAGCUACAGAAGUCCUGGAAAAUGGAGAGUCCUGUCCCAAGGCAAGGGAGUGGCACCAUGUCUCCUCUCAAGCCCUCCCUCCCCAGCCUCCAGCCCCCCAGGAAGGUCCUCAGUAGGUGGGAGAUCUCUCAGCUGGAGCAUGUGGAAUUACUCAGACACCCUGCCCUGUUGUCCCGGCGAUACAAGGCUGGGCUCCCACCAUCGGUCUUUGCUGUUGCUGCCACCCAGCUCUCUUCCUUAGUCACGCUCCUGGGUUGCAGACACAGCCCAGGGCUCCCCCAGAGCGAGGCUUUGUCCUUUUUUGGCCCAGACGCUGUCUAUUGUGUGGGAGAGCCUCCCUUGUGGGGCUGGGACCCAUUAAGUUAUGGGGUUUGCCAUGCAAACAAUAAGGGGCAAGCCCAAGAUAGAAUGACAACGUCAGAUGUGACUGGUACCUCAAAUCAUCCUGUCUCUCCCCAUCACGGGGCCCCCCACAGCCUCUGUUAG
rnacentral:lncRNA from 1 species